rnacentral:rRNA from 1 species
GACGAACGCUGGCGGCGUGCUUAACACAUGCAAGUCGAACGGAAAGGCCCUGCUUUUGUGGGGUGCUCGAGUGGCGAACGGGUGAGUAACACGUGAGUAACCUGCCCUUGACUUUGGGAUAACUUCAGGAAACUGGGGCUAAUACCGGAUAGGAGCUCCUGCUGCAUGGUGGGGGUUGGAAUGUUUCGGCGGUUGGGGAUGGGCUCGCGGCUUAUCAGCUUGUUGGUGGGGUAGUGGCUUACCAAGGCUUUGACGGGUAGCCGGCCUGAGAGGGUGACCGGCCACAUUGGGACUGAGAUACGGCCCAGACUCCUACGGGAGGCAGCAGUGGGGAAUAUUGCACAAUGGGCGGAAGCCUGAUGCAGCAACGCCGCGUGCGGGAUGACGGCCUUCGGGUUGUAAACCGCUUUCGCCUGUGACGAAGCGUGAGUGACGGUAAUGGGUAAAGAAGCACCGGCUAACUACGUG